CCUACGUGAGGCUGCAGUGGGGAAUAUUGCACAAUGGGGGAAACCCUGAUGCAGCGACGCCGCGUGAAGGAAGAAGUAUUUCGGUAUGUAAACUUCUAUCAGCAGGGAAGAAAAUGACGGUACCUGACUAAGAAGCCCCGGCUCACUACGUGCCAGCAGCCGCGGUCAUACGUAGGGGGAAAGCGUUAUCCGGAUUUACUGGGUGUAAAGGGAGCGUAGGCGGUGUAGCAAGUCAGAAGUGAAAGGCUGGGGGUUAAAGCCGGGACUGCUUUUGAAACUGUUGAACUAGAUUGCAGGAGAGGUAAGUGGAAUGCCUAGUGUAGCGGUGAAAUGCGUAGAUAUUAGGAGGAACACCAGUGGCGAAGGCGGCUUACUGGACUGUAAAUGACGCUGAGGCUCGAAAGCGUGGGGAGCAAACAGGAUUAGAUACCCUUGUAGUC
rnacentral:rRNA from 1 species